ACUACAUAUCAAUAAGCGGGAGGAAAAGAAACCAACAGGGAUUGCCUCAGUAACGGCGAGUGAAGCGGCAUCAGCUCAAAUUUGAAAUCUGGCUCUUUUAGAGUCCGAGUUGUAAUUUGCAGAGGGCGCUUUGGCAUAGGCAGCGAUUCAAGUCCCUUGGAACAGGGCGUCACAGAGGGUGAGAAUCCCGUACGUGGUCGCUAGCUCUUGCCGUGUAAAGCCCCUUCGACGAGUCGAGUUGUUUGGGAAUGCAGCUCUAAAUGGGAGGUAAAUUUCUUCUAAAGCUAAAUAUUGGCCAGAGACCGAUAGCGCACAAGUAGAGUGAUCGAAAGAUGAAAAGCACUUUGGAAAGAGAGUCAAAAAGCACGUGAAAUUGUUGAAAGGGAAGCGCUUGCAGCCAGACUUGCCUGUAGUUGCUCAUCCGGGCUCUUGCCCGGUGCACUCUUCUGUAGGCAGGCCAGCAUCAGUUUGGGCGGUUGGAUAAAGGUCUCUGUCAUGUACCUCUCUUCGGGGAGGCCUUAUAGGGGAGACGACAUACAACCAGCCUGGACUGAGGUCCGCGCAUUCGUGCUAGGAUGCUGGCGUAAUGGCUGUAAGCGGCCCGUCUUGAAACACGGACCAAGGAGUCUAACAUCUAUGCGAGUGUUUGGGUGUCAAGCCCGAGCGCGUAAUGAAAGUGAACGGAGGUGGGAACCCUUUUUUGGGUGCACCAUCGACCGAUCCUGAAGUUUUCGGAAGGAUUUGAGUAAGAGCAUGGCUGUUGGGACCCGAAAGAUGGUGAACUAUGCUUGAAUAGGGUGAAGCCAGAGGAAACUCUGGUGGAGGCUCGCAGCGGUUCUGACGUGCAAAUCGAUCGUCAAAUUUGGGCAUAGGGGCGAAAGACUAAUCGAACUAUCUAGUAGCUGGUUCCUGCGAGUUU
rnacentral:rRNA from 1 species